CCUACGGGUGGCAGCAGUAGGGAAUAUUGCUCAAUGGGGGAAACCCUGAAGCAGCAACGCCGCGUGGAGGGUGAAAGUUUUCGGAUUGUAAACUCCUUUUGUUAGAGAAGAUAAUGACGGUAUCUAACGAAUAAACACCGGCUAACUCCGUGCCAGCAGCCGCGGUAAUACGGAGGGUGCAAGCGUUACUCGGAAUCACUGGGCGUAAAGAGCGCGUAGGCGGGAAAGCAAGUCAGAUGUGAAAUCCUAUGGCUUAACCAUAGAACUGCAUUUGAAACUGUUAUUCUAGAGUAUGGGAGAGGUAGGUGGAAUUCUUGGUGUAGGGGUAAAAUGCGUAGAGAUCAAGAGGAAUACUCAUUGCGAAGGCGACCUGCUAGAACAUAACUGACGCUGAUGCGCGAAAGCGUGGGGAGCAAACAGGAUUAGAUACCCUUGUAGUC
rnacentral:rRNA from 1 species